GAUGACUCCAGGAGGAUCUACUAGGCUCCGCAGUUCCCAGCAGAGAAUCUAGGAUGUCCUAGGUUCAAAUCCUGACUCCACACCGCUUACAAGCCAUGUGACACUAGGCUGUCCCACCACUCAGAUCGCAUUCCACUCUGACCGGCUGGACCCCAGGCCCUACUCCAAGAAGCCCUCCCCUGACCACAGGGUCAACCUCCUAUAGCACCCAAGGCGGUGCUGGGAGUAUGGUCACUCCUUGCAGCCUUGCUCCCUGCCAAACUGUAAGUUCUGCGAGGGCAGCUAGCUUUUAGUGUGCUUCUGUGGUUCCCGGUACCCAGGGCUGCGUCGCACACAGAAGGAGUGUAGUAAGUCAAUUGAUUGAAAGAAAAAGAACUGUACUGCCAAUACUUAACUGCAGUGAAUGGGAUCCAAGGAAUCAUCAAGAAUGGCCAACAGGCUUUAUUCUCAGCUCCAAUUCUAAUCAAUUAGUCAUGGCUGCUUGGGGCAAUGUGUUGAGAAGGAUUCUGGGGCCACAUCAGAGCUCAGCUAGGAGGAGUGCUGUGAUUGAUUACUGAGGUCUGCAGUGAGCACAGUAAAGCUGGGGACAGCAGCCAGCUUGCCUCCUCUAGUCUAGUCCAACACUCUCCUUUUACAGGUAGAGAAACUGAGGUUUCCUUAUCCCCAAAGCACCCAUUUCUGGUCACCACAUUCUCACUCGCAAAAACAUUCCUACAUGUAGGAGGAGCCAUGGCCUUUUAAAAUCUGGAGUAAAAAGAGACACCAGAGACAAAAACCAGAGACAAAAGAAGUAACACAAGGGGAAAAAAAAUGUGUAAAACACAGGGCUUACUUUGGUUGUGAAAGAGAAAUAAUUAUAGAAGGGCAAAGUAGAUGCUCUAAGAAAGACUUUUUUUCUUUUUAAAGAAGGAAAAGUCCAGAACGCAUGCUCAAAGUAGAAAUCUUAGAAAUACCCAUUGCAAAAUAACUCCUGGUCAGCCAACCACAAGCUCUAUAAAUAUAUCACAAGAUCAACAGCUCAGGCAGAUGGGGGGAGGGGGAGAAUGGCUCCAUGAAUUUUUUAAAAAAUCAAAAUAGUUCUUCUCACAGCUGGAAAGGAAGGAGUCACCCAUUAUCCUACAAAACGAGAGGCCCAUGAAGAAAAGAAAGAUUAUAAUUCUACACAUCCCAAUGGGCGCCUGCUGAGAAACCUAGGCAGCCAGGCUACUUUGAAAUAAUUCUACAAUUCUGUUUUCUUUGCAGAGGGGAAAAAAAAAAAAUCAGGUACCCUGAAUUCAUCAGGGCAGCCGUUAUCUUACAGUGGCGUCCAUGGGGUUCUGCAGGGUGGGAACAGCCCAAGGCUCCAUGGGGCCUGAUUGUGGGUGGUACAUUCUUCAGGGUCUGGACCAGAAAAAGAAAGCCAUUCUGGGUCUUUAAAAUAGAAGCAGUUUAAUACAGGGAUCUGAGUACUCAGGUGAUACAUGGGCUGAGAAGCUUUAUGGGGGGGACACAGGCAACCAAGGAUUAGCAGAUGAGGAGGUGCUGCUAUGAAGAAAGACAGGAACAGAUGGUGUUACUCGAGUUGGGGCAGUUCAGCAAGAGCUGCCCAAAGGGUGUGGUUCAGAAAGAGAGGGGCUGGAGCUACACCGAAAAGAUGACAAGAGGCCGAAAAGGAGUGGGGAGAAAUAACCCUGGGCUUUUCCUUUCUUCCCACCUUCCAAUGUCCCUGCUGUGUAUCCUCCUGGCCAAGCCAGCGAAGGCCAGAGAGCAAGGGCACCUGGGAAAUGUAGUUCCUUGUGAUUCAGAGCACAGAGGGGCAAGAAAGGGAUGGGGCUGAGGUCAAACUAACAGCUGAUCCCAACUAGAAUACUCCAGAAGGGCUGAAGCCUCUCGAUGGCCGUGUCCUUUACAGCUCACCGAGGGUCCGCCUGGGUUCUAUUUCCAUGUUUACACUCUAAGUCUCUCACAGGCAAGGGCUGUCCUCCCUUAAACUGCACUGUCUUCCACAAUAUCCAGGAGUCACAGCUCCAGAGCUGAAAGGACCCUAAAUGUCUGAGGAAUGGAAGCCUGGCCAUCCACUCUCAGGGCCCCAACACGAGGGAUGCUUGAACAGCCUUCCACCAGAUUCUUGCUUCCAGCUUUUACUGAGAAUCUACGAUUGACAGAAAACCCAUAACGCGGAAGGCGAGAUGUCCCCAGCUCAGAAGACCCACGCCCCCGGUGGACACACUAAAAGCAUCUCCUGACCAGAUCUAGAGCACUGUGCUCAUGGGAUCAGGAGCGGAGGCUCUGAGAUACCCAAGCCUCAUGCCAGCUGGGCAGGCCAAGGCGGAAACACUCCGAGGGCCCCCAAAAGUCAGGGCCACUCCAGAUCUGCACUGGGAACUCUGUGGUGGUGGUUUCUGAACUGUAUCACAAGAGUAUUCCUGUCCCGUGGGGCACAGACGCAACCCGGUGACCGUCUUUGUGCUGGCUGUUGAUGAAGGCUUAGUUCAAACCAUAUUCUGCAAAGAAAGAAAGGGCAUGGAGUUCCCAUCAUGGCUCAGUGGUUAACAAACCCGACUAGCAUCCACGAGGACUCGGGUUUGAUCCCUGGCCUUGCACAGUGGGUUAAGGAUCUGGCUUUGUCGUGAGCUGUGGUGUAGGUCGCAGACACAGCUUGGAGCCCGCAUUGCUGUGGCUGUGGUGUAGGCCGGCAGCGACAGCUCCAAUUUGACCCCUAGCCUGGGAACCUCCAUCUGCUGUGGGUGCGGCCCUAGAAAGACAAAAUGAUUAAAAAAAAAAAA
rnacentral:lncRNA from 1 species